UACGUAGGAGGCGAGCGUUGUCCGGAGUUACUGGGCGUAAAGGGUGCGCAGGCGGCGGUGCGCGUGGCGAGAUGAAAUCUCCUGGCUUACCUGGGAGGGUGGUCGCCAGACGGCAUCGCUUGAGGGUCGGAGAGGGGCGUGGAAUUCCGGGUGGAGCGGUGAAAUGCGUAGAGAUCCGGAGGAACACCGACGGCGUAGGCAGCGCCCUGGACGACACCUGACGCUGAGGCACGAAACGCUGGGGGAGCGAAACAGGGAUUAGAACUACCCCCGUAGUCCCAGGACGAA
rnacentral:rRNA from 1 species